UACGGAGGGUGCAAACGUUGCUCGGAAUCAUUGGGCGUAAAGCGCACGUAGGUGGCCUGUUAAGUCGGGUGUGAAAUCCCUGGGCUCAACCCAGGAAGUGCACUCGAAACUGGCAGGCUUGAGUACUGAAGAGGGUCGCGGAAUUCCCGGUGUAGAGGUGAAAUUCGUAGAUAUCGGGAGGAACACCAGUGGCGAAGGCGGCGACCUGGGCAGAUACUGACACUGUGGUGCGAAAGCGUGGGGAGCAAACAGG
rnacentral:rRNA from 1 species